UAUUAAAUAAGUAAACCUAGAAGCAAAUUAUGUUAUGUUAAAAGAAUGUUUUUUGUAUAUUCUGUAUUUUUCUACAUUUCAUCUGCUCUAGCUUGGUUCCUUGUAAUAAACCUGGCUGGCAUUGUAUACUAAAUAUUGUUGGCUCUGUGACAAAUUGCUUCUUAUGUUCCUACAUUCUUCCAUGUUGAUGGCCUGCACCCCAGACUCAGAGCGGACCUCCUGUCGGACAACAUCUCCCAGGCACAAUGAACAAUAUGGUUGGUUACUAGAGAUUACACCAGUUCCAGUUUGGAUCCAGCCUCGCGUGUGAAGACUUCAGAAGACGCCAACACUCACAAAGACUUCAGAUGAUGGCAACUAGAUGAACAUACAAAGCUGCCAAAUUAUCCUUAUAUUGUAAUCAUUGCCCUAAAAGGUUUUCUGGAUUCCCAGUUGAAGACAUCAGUACAUCAGAUGUUGGCCUGGACAGCUGUAUCUACAGUACACUGCACUGACCUCUGCUUUUGCAUAGAUGGCUGACUACUACCAUAGUAUUAUUGGUGCUCUUCAUGAGGCUUUGGAAAAAAUAAAGGAGCUGGAAGAACUGGUGUGAAGCCUCAACAUCUCUCAAGCUUUGCUGGAUAACCAGUUAAUAACAUCAUCCUCAUCUACAUACCUGCUGUAACAUCCUCCUCAUCAUCCAGUUACAUCCUCCUCCUCUUUAUUACCCAGCAACAUCAACCACAUUUUCUUAACACUCAGUAACAUCAGACAACUCCUAAACUUGCUCCGCAAACAAGAGCAGGUAGUGCCUUUUAGAGAAGUUGCAUAGUCACCCUUAGCCUAUUUCAUAAGAGAAUCCCCAUGCUAUAUGCCAGUGACCAUCAGCAGACCCUGGACAUGCCAGUGGUAGGUGUGUAGUAUUAUUAUUAUUUUUAUUUUUUUUCGCUUGGCCCCCCAACAAACACAAUUUGUGAUGCCUAUGCCUAUCCAAUGGCUUUCACAUUAGGGCACUUCUACCAGGCCAUAGGGAGGUUUUUCAUUUGGGUCCACUUUUCCAUCUGGAAUGGCACCAAAGUGUGAAGCAUCGGGGUGGAUGAAGACACCACAAGGAAGAACACAGUUCUCAGCAUUGCAGUGAAGAACUUCUGCUGAGCUGCUUUUUCGAACUUGCUUGCAGAUGUCAUGACAAAACAUGUAUAUCUCAUGCACUUUACAUGGAUUUUUUUUUUUUAUUAACUGUUGUCAAAAUAAAACUGUUUUGAAGAAUACGUUUUUUUCCCCGUUUUUUUUAACUGGGUGCAGAGCCUAUACCAGGCCUGCUGUUUGCUUGUGCAUUUUUGAUUCUUAGUGUUAUUUUAUAACCAAAUUAUUAACAAUUUUAAACAUUCAAUAAUAUUACCCACUUAAUUGAUGUUUUAAGUCUACAGGUGGUAUGGUAUUGUGUUUAUUUAUUUGCCUUUUGUAUACGUGCUUAUAGAAUAGCAAAGUUGUAAGUCAAAUUCAUUGUAAAGAUUUGCAUUUCUCAAUUUCAUUCAUGUGAUAAAAAUAAAAAUGUGCCAUUGUGUAGUGGAAGACCACUGCUAUUUAUUGGAAAACAAACAGUUAAAGCCAUUUACUAUCGGACAUCAUUCCAAUUUAUUUAGUGUGGAUAUAUAGUGGGAGCUGAAUCUUCAAAUGUCAUGCCAUUUAAAUGAAGAGAACAUUUUUUGAAACAAACAUAAUUUGGUGCCCUGAAAUCCCCGAACACUGAAUAAGGGUUAAAAUGACCAUUACUAUAUAACAUAAAAGAUAGGUCAGUAGGCACAGAAAACAUGCAUUUUUAAUCACAUGCCAUGAUAUAUAUAUAUUAAUCCUGUUAGCAGAGGGUGCUGUUAAUAAUAAGUUGUUAUAGACACUGAGACAACCAAUAUAUUUGAAACAGUCUUAUCAGAAAAUAUACUAUCAUCAUUAGCUAAAUCCAGUCUGUAUUUACUUCAAGCUGAUGUGGCUCCUCAUGCUUUCUUAUUGACAACACUUGGACCAAAUUACCACUUUUCCCUGCAAUAC